rnacentral:rRNA from 1 species
AGUGAACGCUGGCGGUAGGCCUAACACAUGCAAGUCGAACGGCAGCACAGUAAGAGCUUGCUCUUACGGGUGGCGAGUGGCGGACGGGUGAGGAAUACAUCGGAAUCUACUUUUUCGUGGGGGAUAACGUAGGGAAACUUACGCUAAUACCGCAUACGACCUACGGGUGAAAGCAGGGGAUCUUCGGACCUUGCGCGAUUGAAUGAGCCGAUGUCGGAUUAGCUAGUUGGCGGGGUAAAGGCCCACCAAGGCGACGAUCCGUAGCUGGUCUGAGAGGAUGAGCAGCCACCCAGGGAAGAAGAAACGGUGCCAGCUCCAACGGGAGGCAGCAAGGGGGAAAUUUUGGCAAAUGGCGCAAACCCUAUCCAACCAUAACCCGGGGGGGAAAAAGGGCUUCGGGGUUUAAAGCCCUUUUUUUGGGAAAAAAAAACAAGAGGGUAAAACCCCCCUUUUUUGAGGGGAACCAAAGAAAAAAGCCCCGCUAAAUUCGGG